UGCCAGUAUCAGCAGUAGUGAGUGUACUACCACUACUACUAGUAGUAGUCACAUUGCUAUUACUACCACCAAUACUACCAAUAGUAGUUAUAAAGCCUAACUCAUGUAUAUCCAGAUUACCAUCUAUGUUCUUCCUCCAAACCCAUUUUAUGAUUGGGAUUACAGGCAGUUCUUUAGGACUGCUCUCAAAUAAUUGAAAUGCUACUAAACAAGGUUAUACUUAUCAAAUUAAAUAGCUCUGGUCUCCAGUAUAUUGGCGAAUUCGGUUCUUUGUACUUAAUUUAUUAGCAUGAUUUCUUUUUAAUAUGUUGUAUACAGACUUACUUACUUCUCUGUCUACUUUUCUUACUCCAUGUAGGUUUCCCAGAGACUAUGGGUUGAGGAGGAAGUGGAAGUUUGUCGGCUUAGACCUGGUGUCAUUCCAUCAGUGUUAAACUUCCCGGCUCAUCUUGGAAGAGUACGUGCCAGAAAGACCACGACCAAGCAGCCUUGAGAUCUUAGACAGCGUCUCCCUCAGGUCCCUCACUAUCUCCCCACACAUCCACCAACCACUGGAACACAUCUCCAAAGUUCUGCUGGGCCAGCUCAGCUUCCCCUCAGAAGAAGUGCUGCCACCUGCCAGAUGAAGGAGCCUUUUGAGAGGUAGCUGGCAUCGUGAUUGGACUGUACUUUGGUCUGUUCCAAUCCAGCUUCAGCUCCAGAGACAGCAGGUGGGACGAGUCAACGGAGGCCUGGUGGAUGAAGACAUGCAGCUGAGUACAAUCCAGAAAACAACAGAGGAGGAGUGCAGUGGCCCAGGACCAGAACAACCAGAACCAAAGAACUACAGACUCUUCACAACCUGCUCAAACUCUUGGUACAGGACCUCACCACACGGGUCAAGAAGGUUUCCGUCUCAUUUCUACUCUGAAGCUCACCUUCUCCUGCUCAAACUGCUGACAAAUGUUUCUGCUGCUCUAAAGUCUGGUCUCUAGAACUUCCUAAAAACCCUCAAAGUCUCUUCUGCUGCAGGUUGCUUUGUAGAACUGUUGCAGAAAACCUCACUAAACCACAUGGAGGGGCCUCAAGAUAGUCGUCCAAAUGAAACCAUACAAAAACCAAACUAGCACAACCCAAACGCUAAAGUCUCCUACAGCCUACCAGAGAACCUCUGAGAACAGAGAAUCAGGACAGGAACUCUUACCUUCUGGACAACCAACGCUGGUUCACAAACAAGAAUACAGAAUGUGUCUGACCAAAAACCUCUGAAGACUCACUACAGCCAAGAUAAAGACACAACUCAGCUGCACCAAAUCCACUAAUCACUGCACACAUUAGCACCAUGUGCUAACUGUGGCUAAAGAACCACAUUUACCAAGACAGCUAUCCAGUACAAAGCCCUAAAACACACCAAGAAACACAUUAAAGACAAUUUUACUGCUGGAAGCUGCAAGCCAACGCCUAAAGAACAAACUGAAGCAAAGGAGCCAAACCCGGUUCAGUGGUGAACAGAAGCAGAGGAAAUGUUUGUCUGCAGCUAAAUAAAGCAGGAAGACACUGAGCUGCUCAGGUGUUCCUGAUAACACCAAGCAGCCACCUGGACAGCCAAUAGGAACACAGCUUACUGGAAGUCCAGAGGGCUGGGUUAGUGAAGGAAAUUUAGUUUAAAGUUGAAGCAGAAAGUUAACAAAGAAAGCUGAAAACCACCUUCUGAUACCUGAAAUCUCUUGAGUUUUCACACAAAGAACACCUGAACAUGUCAAACUGGUUCCAUAGUAGAACCAUCACUGUAAAAACGUCAUAGUAUGGUGUGUUGCUCAAAAAACAUUAGGACCCUGCUGUCAGGGGACAAACAUGUAAGAAACAUGAGAACAGAGAGAACCCAACCAGUAGGUCACAGUUUAUCAUCCCCCAGUCAUCUCCUGAAGUCCAUAUGGUGAGAGACAUCAGUAUCUGGUUGUUAAUUUACCAGAGGAUGCUUAUAAUCAUGCUGAUGUGGUCUGUACUCUACAGUAUUUUAGUGACUCAAUAAAUGCCUAAGUUGUUUUUUUAAAAUGCUUUUUAGUUUCUAAUAAACAUUUAAGAGCCUAUAUGUAAUCAAUAAAUGGCCUUUGCCUAUCUUAAGAAAAAUUCACUCAGAACUCUGAUAUGUUAACAGUACUAAAUAAAUCAAUAAAUACAUGCAUAUACACAAAAAUAAGUUAAUACUGUGUUAAGAUUUAGAUUAAAAAAAAGUUGUUUAUGUUUUUGCAGAAUCCAGUAUUACUCACUGGUUGGUCAUUACAUUUUAUUAGUUUGAUUUCACUAUUUAAAAUGAUGCCACCUCGUUUCAGACAGAACCUGUGAUAAUAAAACAAUACAAAAUGUUUAGUUCCGUGUUAAUAAAGCACUUAAAGCUUUAAGUAUGGCUAAAUGCUUUUUUCAAAAUUAAAUAUAUCACUCCUUAGGUGGUAGUGGCCCCAAGUUCAGUAAAGUUGGAAAGAUAUUCACAGAUUCGGACUUCCAGCAUCAAUAACUCAUUAGAUAUAGGUUGUCAAAACAUAAACGGUGCCUCUUUCCCAUUGUUGCAAGGCAGACAAUGUGCUACAAGCCCAGUUUUAUCAAAAGUAGCUGUCUUUCAAGCUACAGGAAUAACAUUGGUGUCUAUGGAGUGAACAGGGUCCAUCUGCAAUUUGCAAAACCGCUGCAACAGUAAAGAGAGACAAAUAUUCAAUAACUUCACUCUUAUACAUUGUAGUGUCACUAAAAUCACUGCAGCCUUCAACUGGCUCCUGUUGACAAAGUGUUUUAACAGAAAUGUAAAUGCUGUAAUGUGAUUCUUUUAAUGAACCAUGUAACUUGAAUGGAUGUGAUGCUGGUGUGACCACAGUGCACACGUCUGAUGUUGCUCACAGUGGUCCAAGGGACGCUCAGGGAGUUUGUGUGUUUGCUCACACUCAUGAAAUAUUACAGGGAACAUUGACACCCACGUUCCUUCAAACUGUAAGGAAUGAACGCUAAGUCUAACAACAAAAUCAUGAUUCACACUUAGUGUUUGGGUAAAGCAAACGCUUAUGUUUAAAAAUCCCAGACCUAAAGUUGACUGUCCUUAGAAUUAAGCAGCAGCAAUGCCCAUUUAAGAGGAAUCAAAUGAUUUCAGUAGAUCUAAAUGAAUAAAACUAGUGAUAUUAAUAUCACUUGUUAGGUUCAGGUGGAGCCACUCAAUUCAGUUGUAUGGUACCAACUGGUCAUUUAAAUCACUUAACCUGCUCCAACAAUUCUCUUUUUUUAGUGCCAUUACAAAAUUGUUUGGUUGUUUUAAAUAUUAGAGGCUAUCAAUGAGCGCACGUUUUUAUCACUCCAUAAAACAGAAAAUACUAUCGACAGCCAAAGAAAAUUCAUUAAUUAUUUUCAAAUCAAUUUAAAAAAAUCAAUUUUUUCCCCACAUUUUUAGGAAUAAAAUAAUCUAUAAUUCAAGGUAUGAGUGAUAUAUGACCAAACCCCUCAGCAAAUAACCUUCAGGACAUAGGUUGGAAUAAAAAUGGAAGGUGUGGUGUAUGUAAUCGUUACUGAGGUGGAAAUGACUGACUCAAUAAGAGAAAAAUCUAAUUUUGAGAUCUUCAUUUUAAUUGAAAUCUACAAAUGCACAUAGAAAAAGUUUAGUAAAAUUUGCACCUAAAUGUGCAUUUUGAAUGUUGUCUUUCCACUAGUCUGAAAGAAGACUUGUUAUGGAAGCAAAACAUCCCAAAAUGUGCAUGAAAAAUACCAAAAAUACAUGAAAAUAGUGUUGAUUUUGUCCUUCUACUUACUGUCAAUCACUAGACUCCAUCCCAACACUACAAAUGACAAGGAUCUUUAUCAGUUAGUGUCUUUAAAAUGCAAAAUUUACUGUGUUUUACAUUCUUCAUCAAAAGACAAGCAGAAGUGGCAAAUGCUCCUACUGAGGGACACUCCAUUAACUCCUGAUGGAAAAGUAGUGAAGGCCGCGUCACGCUGCUGAGGAAUCUGAGCUGCACUGUACGGACUUGGCAGCUCACACGCUGAAGCUCGUGAAUCCGUCGGCGGCGCUUGAGAUGUGUCAACAUGAUUCAUCUGAGCCUGCAAGUGUGGCUUACAGUGACCCUAGCGUGGUGAAAGGGGUCCUUCGCGGCCACAGCUGCAUGGGUCGAUCACAUCGAUCAGACUGAUCAACACACGGUUGCGGCCUGCACAGUACAGACCUGCAGAUGUUUACCAGCUUCUCCAUCCACAUGGAGUCACUAGAUAGGCCUGUUUGUUCCCGACUCCUGGGAGACGAGCGGGCUCCACUCCCAUGUUUCCUUCCUGACUCUCACAACAAGCUCUUUCUGGGAAGAUGGAAAUCAGAUGAACUUGGCUGAAGGCUGCAUGCAUGUCACUCUGGGACUUGGGGUUAUUUGAUGAUCCAGAUAUAUUUAUCUCACUCCUAAGCGUUUGUGUAUAAACUAAGUAAACAAC